GGAUUGUGGCUCAGUGGUAGAGCACUCGCCUAGCAUGUGUGAGUCACUGAGUUCAAUUCUCAGCACCA
rnacentral:tRNA from 1 species